UGGUGGAUUGAUCUGUCUGCUUAAUUGCGAUAACGAACGAGAUCUGCACCUCUAAAUAGGUGCUGGCUGUGUAUGUACGAUCGGUGCGGUGCAGCUUGUCUGCUCGUGUUGGUCGGAGCAAGCCAGAGACUUCUUAGAGGGACUGUGCAUGUUUUCAGUGCACGGAAGAUGCAGCCAAUAGCA
rnacentral:rRNA from 1 species